GACUCAAGGUUCAGUACUAUAAAUAGGGGACGCUGUGCAUCAGGAAAAGCCCCGACAAAAUCAAUACAAAAUUGCCCUGCGCAAACUCUCACAACUUGUGAUUUUUCUUUUUUCUUUUUUCGCUGACACAUCUUCCGUUGGCAUCAACAGCACUGUGAAGGCAACCAGUGAUAUCUUCAGUCGGCAUAGAUAGCUCUGUCACCGUAGAAUCAGCCGAUCUCGCAGCAUCUUCCGUUGGCAUC
rnacentral:lncRNA from 1 species